AGUGAACGCUGGCGGUAGGCCUAACACAUGCAAGUCGAACGGCAGCACAGAGGAGCUUGCUCCUUGGGUGGCGAGUGGCGGACGGGUGAGGAAUACAUCGGAAUCUACUCUGUCGUGGGGGAUAACGUAGGGAAACUUACGCUAAUACCGCAUACGACCUACGGGUGAAAGCAGGGGAUCUUCGGACCUUGCGCGAUUGAAUGAGCCGAUGUCGGAUUAGCUAGUUGGCGGGGUAAAGGCCCACCAAGGCGACGAUCCGUAGCUGGUCUGAGAGGAUGAUCAGCCACACUGAACUGAGACACGGUCCAGACUCCUACGGGAGGCAGCAGUGGGGAAUAUUGGACAAUGGGCGCAAGCCUGAUCCAGCCAUACCGCGUGGGUGAAGAAGGCCUUCGGGUUGUAAAGCCCUUUUGUUGGGAAAGAAAUCCAGCUGGUUAAUACCCGGUUGGGAUGACGGUACCCAAAGAAUAAGCACCGGCUAACUUCGUGCCAGCAGCCGCCGUAA
rnacentral:rRNA from 1 species